ensembl:lncRNA
GAUUUGGUUAAAUUGAAAGAGUAAGCAGAUGACAGAUGACAUGAUAACAGAAAUCACACAGCAUGCAGUUGUGUGGCCGUGAGAUUCGCAAUGCUAGUGUAGAACACUGUGGAGUGUUUAUAGGGCUAAUUAGUAUGCUGCUUAUGCUGCUUUGGAGUUUUUAUGGGUCUACGGUCAUGCUCAAAUCACAAAAAUGAGUCCAACCAGCCAUACUAUAUAUGUGGUAUAUCAUAUCACUCAACCAGCUCCAGACACUCAAACACAUACUAGUUAUUCUAGUCAACACAGCUAGCUCUUAAUUCUUAUGCCUGACACACACACCCCUGUAGACAUGACAUCAGAGUCCCGGGUCAGACAGUCAAUACACACACGCACACACACACACGCACACUCCACAGAGCUCGUUUUAGUUUAGACAGCUUUUCUGAGUGCAUCCUAUGCACAGCAGGAGCACACACCCUUCACUAAAGCAGUGUCAUUGCGGUGAAAUCCAGCUCUCAGGCAGCUUCAGACUGCCAAUCAAAACAGGGAGGCGAACUCUUUAACACGUGGGGCUUUAAGGUUAAGCGUCUGGUGCUUGAAAGAAAAUGAAUUAGUGAUUCUGGUGCUGAUUUCUUAAUUGUUGCUGUAUUUUCAUUAUUCUGGUGAAAAGUUAGGCGUUGUGUGCCGCACUGAUGUCACAGUGGGACGCUGCUUUUGCUAGUUACAGUGGUGUUUAACGGUAAUGUUAAUAAAAAAAACUUCAGUGAUCUCAUUUACACCAUGUGAUGUGUUAAUGGCGGUAUUAAUAUGACGGUUGAAACUUUGGAAGCUGAUCUGUUCGAGCAGAGUGCACAGAUCUGGACGGACUAAAGCGCCGCUGCAUCACUCUCUUUAUGUAGAGAUGAUGAUGCAACAGCUAAAUCCCAGUGCAACGCUAUAAGUAGGUAGGCGAACGGCGUUAUAACGAUUAAAAAUUGAUGUAUAAAAACAUUUCAUUACAAAGUCUAUCUUGAAUCAAGUUCAAGAUCAUGUUAAUUAUAAAGAUGAAUCUCAAAUAUUCAGAGCAGAUUUCCACUUUACCUUUCGCAUGAUACAGGCUUCACUGCACUUUGGUCAACUUCACCAGACAUUGAGAAGUUGAUCAAUUGUUAACGAGGACGAAUGGUGAUCAAGUUACAGUUGUUUCUUUUUAAUAAGCAGAGCUGACAUGUGGGCACUAGUGUAAGUUCAGACAUUGCACAAGGUGCUUCAUGGUUGAUGCAUUUAACGCAAACCGAUAAUGGAACCCAGUGCAGCGCCAUCAUCCAAACAGUUUCCUUGACUAGAGAAUAAAUUCUUCAUCAUGCUGUCUUCCAUGUCAUUCUCGGACUUGUCAACGACAGGCCAUCCUUGUUCUUAAAACUGCUAUGAUGUACUUUAUUUUAUUGGGCACUGAUCUUUAACAAAAUUCAAAUAUUUAAUACAUCCCCAAACACAAACAUGUGUGCGAUGCUCUAAUUUCCAACACAAAACUCCUCACAAAAGAUCUCCGUACACCAUAUCCUUUUUUCCUUAACUUUUUACAUUUUACAGUAGAGGUCAUGACCCAGAGACAUUAUAUCCAUAUUUUAACCCAAUAAUAAGCAUCCCCAUACAUGCUUGUAUUGAGUACUAAUAAUUUAAGGCACAGCAGAUGACAUUAAGAUCAACAUUGCAGGCUUUCUAAACUAGCUUUAGUGAAGAUCUUAAGCGAUGCUCGAGCAGUCCUGUGAAUUGAACUCAAGCUUCUGGUAGCAGAGAUGUACCAAAGGAAACAGAGAGGUCAAGUACAACUCACAAAAUAAAAGUCAGGUUUAUUGUUGAACAAACUUCACACACACAGACAGGCCAAGGUAAAACAAAUGCAAACGAAAAACAAUAAGAAAAGUAACUCCUUUUCUUUGGCCUAGCCCUCCCAUACAAACAAAACAAAAACGAAACAAAACUAGUUUAUGGUACAACUAAAGUUCAUACAUAAAAUCUGACUGGAAUGCUCAGAGUUAAAUGGCUGAAUUUUUUUUAUUAUUUUUUAUAAAUGUUUCUGUUUCCAAAGUUUGCGAGACAUGGUCAAACAAGUAAAAUUUCAUAAAGAAGCACCGUUUUGGUCACAGGAGAUCACGAUCAAGUGACUGAUCCCUUAACAAUAUGUACAAAAAUAUAAAAUGUAAAUAAAAAUACAAACAAAUCCUCGUCUUGUGAACUUUGUCGUCGUGUUGGGGAUCUGGGUGGUGGACUUUUCCCUCUAGAAAAUUUUGCAUUGGGGGUUAGUGGGUGAGACGCAGGAACUUGGGGGGGAAAAAAUGACCAUGUUUGAUGUUUGAGUCCUUUAUGCCACUGGCUCCAACAAAUGUGCUGAAGAUGAGCUCUACACCGGAUCAGUAGCAUCCAACAAUCCUUUUAAUCAUCGUCGUCCGUCUUCUGUUUCUUCGGGUCGUCCUCCUCGUCCUCCUCCUCAUCUUCAUCUCCUGCAAUAAGAAAGUCGAUAUUAAGUCAAGACUUGCACCCAGGUUUCCAUCAUCAGACGCAUCUACGAGAAGUUAAAAUGACUUUUAGGAAACUGCAACACCCACCCUCUCCAUCUUCCUCCUCGUCUUCUUCGUCUACUUCAUCCUCCUCUUCCUCAUCAAUCUCAGGCUCUCCGUUCUCCUCAUUUUCCUGUUAAAGCAGAUUUCCGUUAUACCAAGAUCACCCUCCUCGUCUCAGUCAACCCAUGAACAAAUCUUGACCGAAAUGAAUCGUUUAGUAUGUGGCACCUUUCCAUUAGUGGCCUCCUUUCCAUUUUCCUUCUCCUCAAGGAGCUUCUUCUCCUUCAAGUCCUGUAAAAUGAUUAAACACACCCAUUAACACGACGCCUUGUUAGACGAGAGUGCCCUUGCUAUUUAAAACCAUCAUUACGUCCAAUGGACUUGGGCCAAACGGUGAGUGAGAGGAAAGGGGGUGGGAGGUGGACAAGAGCGCCCUCUGUGAGCCUGUGCGUGAAAGUGCAGCCAGGGUCAGAACAACGUCAUUGGCUGACACAGAGGCUUUCCAGCUGUCAAUCAUUUGGCGUAAGGACCCGCCUACUUAAGAGGUAGAUGAUUUGUAAUACGACACCUCAGUGUUAUUGAGAUACCAUGGGUAUUGUAGUUCGGGCAAUUUCGUGAACGCCAUAUGCUAGGAGGCGGACACACCCGUGGAAGAAAAAGAAAGAAAAAAAAGAAGGGACGGUCGUUAAGAUUCAGGCGAGUCAGGGGUGGGAAAACAAGCUGACUUGGAAGACUUUGAAAGGACAAAGAAGGCCUGGCGCAUGGCUUUCUCUCUCUCUCUCAUCAUAUCCGAGACCAUAAUCCCAAAAAGCAUAGCGCACCCUCGCGCACUAAACAGUGCGCCAAUCUGGAGCGCGCAACCAUUACCGCACACACACACACACACACACACACACACACUACCGUACUACAUAGUAUGCACACCUAGUGCACAAACAGUGCGCACAGCAAUAGGUUGCGUACUAUCUAGUACAGUAUGCGGUUUGGUGCGCAGCCAGAAGAGCGCAAUCCACUCCCCCUCCUUCCUUCCUUCCCUCCCUCCUGCUUGCUUUCACGCUAUCUAUCUACCGGAUUUAGGUCGAGAAGAACAAACCGGAGGCGGUCAGUCACUUUAUCCGGCUUUUCACCGAAACGUGCUCGAUUAGGAAAAACCGCAGAUGAUUCACUUUACACGCUACUAAAGUCCCGAAGUCAGAAAGCCAUGGAGAAAACGAGCGUGCGUUUCAUAUCCGAAUUUCAGAACCGACUCGACGGUUUUCUGUUUAGAUCAAGCACACCGCACGAGCGACCACCAAAUUAUCCCAAUGCUAUUUAAAAAUAUAUAUUAUUACGCUAUUAUUAUUAUUAGUAGCAGUGGUAGUAGAAGUGGUGGUAUUUGACAGUAUGUGACACCUCUCUGAUGCCGGGUGUAAUUCAGAUUCUACUUGCGAUGCACCUCCGUUAAUAGCAUUAAUUUAAAAAAAAAAUAAUAAUAAUAAGGAUUAUUUAGGCUACAGAGUGCAUGCAACAAACCGAAUGUGUACAUCACCUCGCAGCACAGGUGUUCAUCUAGUCACAUCUACAAAAACAUCACUGCACCCCUGAACAUAAUCUAGAUACAAACUAACAGCACUUCCGAAAUGUACACUCGGAAGUAACAAGAUAUCAGAUCAGGCUCGAUCCAGAACGCUUCAUGGGCACAUGAGAGAGAGAGAGAGAGAGAGAGAGAGAGAGAGAGAGAGAGAGAGAGAGAGAAUAUCCAAUAAACAAAAACAAACCAGUUUAUUAAUACGCCUAUUAAUAGGAUACAGACAAAUGAUGUGUGAUGGAUGGGAUAUGAACGUUUAAAAAAAAAAAAUCAAAUGAAAUGAAAUUAACGCUCGAGCACCGAGACAUCACAAACUCCAAACCGAAAAUAAUAAACUUGCACAUCAAAAACGCGUAAUGUCAGGAUCCCACGGAUAAACAAUUCACAAGUUAUAAACAGUAAGAGAAUGUUAAAGUUGCUGAGAAUGUGCACAAGGCGCGGGAAUAUAAUUAUAAAGGCCUAAUAAAUCAAACAGCGUGCAAAUGAAAUCAUAUUAGAGCAGGGGAAAUGAUUAGAUCAAUCAACGCGAGUGAUCAACCAGUGAUUUGUCGGUGUAAUAAUAAUAAUAAUCAUAAUUAUAAUCAUAAUUAGAAUAAUAAUCAUUCUCAUGUCCGGCGGCGCUGCUCGGGUUCAAAGAGGAACCGAGAACCGACUGUAGCUUAUAAACAAAGAACCCGCGCGCGAUGUUAACGUUAGCAAGCCCCAUUCAGGACAAUAAGAACAAUAUUUGUUGAUUUACUUCCAAAUUGGAUUCCAAAUUAAUCACUCUGAUGUGAUCUAAAACGGUCUCAGUGGGUUUUCUUUUUUUUCUGUUUUUUUUUUCUGUUGUGUUUUUCUUGGGCACGAUACCGUGGGGAUCUCCAUCGGUGUCCGCGCGCGAACUAGUAAAGAUCGGGAGGAAAUAAAAUGAAUGAAAAAACCCCCCAACGAUUGAUGUCUCCUUUUCCGUGUUUCUUACCUUGGCGGAAAUUUCCGUCGCGGAAUCUACCUUGGUGUCUGCCAUGGUUGUCUUUUUUAAAUUUUUUAUAUUGACUAAAUAAUAUAAAUAAUGCCAAAAAAAAACGUAAGAAAAUAUUUAAGUAAAUCCGCUUCGCGUUGAUUCUUCUCUAAUCAAUAUUAAGCUGUUUACUUUAUAGCUCUUCUAAGCUAAUGCCGUCGGCAUGCGAUGUAGGAGGCUUUAAUAUAGGUUUGUGGGCGGAGCUAGAGAAGAAGGGACGGACACUUGGACAUGAUUGGCUGGCGGUUCGGAUGGGGGCGUGUUUUACUACGCCGUAAGAGUGGAACAAUGGAUAGGGUUUCUAAACGGAAAAAAAAGAACACACCUCCUGAGCCGAACCGCUAAUUUAACUGAACAAGAGGAGGAAGAAGAAAAAGAAGCCAAAAAAAAGAAGAAGAAGAAGUAGACACACCCCCUGCUUAAAAAAAAAAAAAAAAAAAAAAAAAAAAACCCGAAAACCCUAUAGACACAGCAUAUAGACUAUAUUUCCUUAAUAAGAACGUCCGGAAGUUUUUGGAGGCGUGUUAGCCUAAUAUAUAAAUAAAUAAAAAAAUUUCCCCAAAUGAAAUACACCGCCAUGAUGUGACGCGCAAACCCGAAUGAUCCGGUUUGGUAGGCUUAAUACGGUGGAUCAGGUAUGUUAGAGCGGGAAAAAGGCACAGGAGAAAACUCAGGACCAGGAUUCAAAAAAAAAAAAAAAAAAAAACACCCGGCUAAAAAAAAGUGGCAAGGAUGAAGUGGAAUUUAGGGAAAGGAUGUUUUAGUGUCUGGUGCAGCCUCUAUUCAUUCCCCUCCCUUUUCCGUGAUCUUGCUUUGACAAAGAAGGUCGACUAAAAGAAAAGAGCAAAACAAAAAGUUUCUUCCGAAGGCGUCUUCAAAAUUUUUUUUAUCAUGUUUCAUUCCACCAACACGGAAAUUCCCAACCGAAUUGUUUUGAUAAUGUGUCUUAGGGUUACAGCAAGGUGAGAAAAAAAAAUCAACAUCAACAACAAAAAAAAACCCCCGACCGUCCAGGAGGAGUGUGAUGUCUGGGGUCAGUAAACACGAUUAAGCUUUAUAACAAGCUAUAUGUAAAAUAUCACAUUUAAAACCUUUAAAGAACCUUUUUUCCUUUACUAGAUUUAGUUACAGAUCAUUAGAACAAAGCAGAAGGCACCAGGCUGCGAACAUAACAAGCAGGAGG